rnacentral:rRNA from 1 species
CCUACGGGUGGCAGCAGUGAGGAAUAUUGGUCAAUGGACGAGAGUCUGAACCAGCCAAGUAGCGUGAAGGAUGACUGCCCUAUGGGUUGUAAACUUCUUUUAUAAAGGAAUAAAACGAGGCACGUGUGCCUUUUUGCAUGUACUUUAUGAAUAAGGAUCGGCUAAUUCCGUGCCAGCAGCCGCGGUAAUACGGAGGAUCCGAGCGUUAUCCGGAUUUAUUGGGUUUAAAGGGAGCGUAGAUGGGUUGUUAAGUCAGUUGUGAAAGGUUGCGGCUCAACCGUAAAAUUGCAAUUGAUACUGGCAGUCUUGAGUACAGUUGAGGUAAGCGGAAUUCGUGGUGUAGCGGUGAAAUGCUUAGAUAUCACGAAGAACCCCGAUUGCGAAGGCAGCUUACUAAACUGUGACUGACAUUGAUGCUCGAAAGUGUGGGUAUCAAACAGGAUUAGAUACCCUUGCAGUC